rnacentral:rRNA from 1 species
UACGUAGGGGGCUAGCGUUGUCCGGAAUCAUUGGGCGUAAAGCGCGUGUAGGCGGUCCGGUAAGUCCGCUGUGAAAGUCGGGGGCUCAACCCUCGAAUGCCGGUGGAUACUGUCGGGCUAGAGUGCGGAAGAGGCGAGUGGAAUUCCUGGUGUAGCGGUGAAAUGCGCAGAUAUCAGGAGGAACACCGGUGGCGAAGGCGGGUCUCUGGGCCGAUACUGACGCUGGAGGAGCGAAAGCCGUGGGGAGCGAACAGG